GCCGGCUUGGCCAAGCGGUAAGGCGUCGCACUCGUAAUGCGAAGAUCUGCGGUUCGAGUCCGCAAGUCGGCA